rnacentral:rRNA from 1 species
CUGUGAACCUUUGGCCUCUUGCGAGCUUCGGCUGGCAGAGGAUUUUACAUAUACUCGAAUGUAAUGAAAACUAUUGUUGUGCGCAAGCACUAUUAUAUACAACUUUCAACAACGGAUCUCUUGGCUCUCGCAUCGAUGAAGAACGCAGCGAAAUGCGAUAAGUAAUGCGAAUUGCAGAAUUCAGUGAAUCAUCGAAUCUUUGAACGCACCUUGCACCCUUUGGAAUUCCGAAGGGUAUGCUCGUUUGAGUGUCAUUGUACUCUCACACUCUCCGAUCCUGUGGAUUUGGGGAGCGGUGGACUUGGGUGCUUGCUGCCUUUCUUGUGGCUCACCUCAAAUGCGUCAGUGCAUCUCUUGGUUGGACAUAGUACGGCGUGAUAAGUGUCUUCGCCGGCGCCUCAUCAUAAGAGGGUGGCCAAUUGGGAGCUCUGUGCUUUCCAACCGUCUUUGGACACUCUCUGACAACUUGACCUCAAAUCGAGUAGGACUACCCG